rnacentral:rRNA from 1 species
UGGGGAAUUUUGGACAAUGGGCGCAAGCCUGAUCCAGCAAUGCCGCGUGCAGGAUGAAGGCCUUCGGGUUGUAAACUGCUUUUGUACGGAGCGAAAAGGUCUGCCCUAAUACGGUGGGCUCAUGACGGUACCGUAAGAAUAAGCACCGGCUAACUACGUGCCAGCAGCCGCGGUAAUACGUAGGGUGCGAGCGUUAAUCGGAAUUACUGGGCGUAAAGCGUGCGCAGGCGGUUAUAUAAGACAGGGGUGAAAUCCCCGGGCUCAACCUGGGACCUGCAUUUGUGACUGUAGAGCUAGAGUUCGGGAGGGGGGGAUGGAAUUCCGCGUGUAGCAGUGAAAUGCGUAGAUAUGCGGAGGAACAACGGUGGCGAAGGCAAUCCCCUGGACCUGUACUGACGCUCAUGCGCGAAAGCGUGGGGAGCAAACA